CACACACGCACACACACACACACACACACACACACACUACUGUACUGCUGCGCUGCCUACAGAGUGAAGGAGGGGGAGGAGAGACGGUCAGAGUGCGCACAGACGGAGGUGUGCGGUUGGUGAAGCUGCCGUCGGCCUCCAGCGCCGGCUUUGUGUUGCGUUUCCUGGAGCGAGUGUGUCGACAGCUGCAGUGUGAUCAUCUGUUCAGCAGCCAGCCCUUCAGCCCACACACACACACACACAGCGCACACGAGCGCACGAAAACAGUGAAAGAGGAGCUGCUGCUGGACUCUGCGUCUCUGCAUCGGGGUGUGAAGCGGAUCUGCCGAGAGUCUCCGCCGUACUGUGCGCCGCUGUCCCCGAAACUCCUGCACACAGACACACACCCGUCAGAAGCUGAAACUCUUCCCCCAGAGGACAGCGGGUCACUGAAGGAGCAGCGCUUCAUGGACUCCGCCUCCAAUUCCAUGACGCCCCGCCCACAGACAUCAAGGAGCACUUCAGACUACCAGACUCCGCCCAACAGCCCAUAUUACCAUGGCAACGGCCCGGCGGUGCGACGACAGCCCUCUAACCCGCCAGCACACACACACAGACGUGUAGAGGGUGAGAAUGACAUAAGUGUGUGUA